UACGUAGGGUGCGAGCGUUGUCCGGAAUUACUGGGCGUAAAGAGCUCGUAGGCGGUUUGUCGCGUCUGCUGUGAAAUCCCGAGGCUCAACCUCGGGCCUGCAGUGGGUACGGGCAGACUGGAGUGCGGUAGGGGAGAAUGGAAUUCCUGGUGUAGCGGUGGAAUGCGCAGAUAUCAGGAGGAACACCGGUGGCGAAGGCGGGUCUCUGGGCAGUAACUGACGCUGAGGAGCGAAAGCGUGGGGAGCGAACAGG
rnacentral:rRNA from 1 species